rfam:Cephalotus follicularis DNA, scaffold: scaffold214, isolate: St1.
AAAAUGGUUCCUUUAGGAACCCCACUUUUCUUUAUUCUAGUGAAAU